rnacentral:rRNA from 1 species
CUAACACAUGCAAGUCGAGCGGUAGAGAGAAGCUUGCUUCUCUUGAGAGCGGCGGACGGGUGAGUAAUGCCUAGGAAUCUGCCUGGUAGUGGGGGAUAACGUUCGGAAACGGACGCUAAUACCGCAUACGUCCUACGGGAGAAAGCAGGGGACCUUCGGGCCUUGCGCUAUCAGAUGAGCCUAGGUCGGAUUAGCUAGUUGGUGAGGUAAUGGCUCACCAAGGCGACGAUCCGUAACUGGUCUGAGAGGAUGAUCAGUCACACUGGAACUGAGACACGGUCCAGACUCCUACGGGAGGCAGCAGUGGGGAAUAUUGGACAAUGGGCGAAAGCCUGAUCCAGCCAUGCCGCGUGUGUGAAGAAGGUCUUCGGAUUGUAAAGCACUUUAAGUUGGGAGGAAGGGUUGUAGAUUAAUACUCUGCAAUUUUGACGUUACCGACAGAAUAAGCACCGGCUAACUCUGUGCCAGCAGCCGCGGUAAUACAGAGGGUGCAAGCGUUAAUCGGAAUUACUGGGCGUAAAGCGCGCGUAGGUGGUUUGUUAAGUUGGAUGUGAAAUCCCCGGGCUCAACCUGGGAACUGCAUUCAAAACUGACUGACUAGAGUAUGGUAGAGGGUGGUGGAAUUUCCUGUGUAGCGGUGAAAUGCGUAGAUAUAGGAAGGAACACCAGUGGCGAAGGCGACCACCUGGACUAAUACUGACACUGAGGUGCGAAAGCGUGGGGAGCAAAC